AACGAACGUUAGCGGCGCGCUUAACACAUGCAAGUCGUGCGAGAAAGGGGAAACCCCGGUAAAGCGGCGCACGGGUGAGUAACACGUAGGUAAUCUACCCCCAGGUGGUGGAUAACCUUCCGAAAGGAGGGCUAAUACAGCAUGAGACCACGGGCUCGCAAGAGCUUGAGGUCAAAGCCGGCCUCUUCAUGAAAGCCGGCGCCAGGGGAUGAGCCUGCGGCCCAUCAGCUAGUUGGUAGGGUAACGGCCUACCAAGGCGAUGACGGGUAGCUGGUCUGAGAGGAUGAUCAGCCACACUGGAACUGAGACACGGUCCAGACUCCUACGGGAGGCAGCAGUGGGGAAUCUUGCGCAAUGGGCGAAAGCCUGACGCAGCGACGCCGCGUGAGUGAUGAAGGCCUUCGGGUUGUAAAGCUCUGUGGAGAGGGACGAAUAAGUGUUGGCUAACAUCCAGCAUGAUGACGGUACCUCUUUAGCAAGCACCGGCUAACUCUGUGCCAGCCGCCGCUGUAAGAC
rnacentral:rRNA from 1 species